AUUUUGAACAAAAGCAAUUGCAGAAUGAAAAUCAUCUAAGACCUGAAUUCCUUGAAUCCAAAUUCCAGUCUUCUUGGUGGUUAUUUCUGAUCUAAAGCUCUUUUAUUUUGUGAUAUCUUUUUGCUCCAGAUUUUCACCACUGGUGCUAGAUGGCAUUCUUCGGUAUGACUUGGGAGAGUUCCAAGCCCUGUCAGUACGGCAGAACAUUUGAACCACUGGAGACCGAAUGACUGGCUUCAAUACCAUGUCUAUUAUUUAAUGACUCUUUGUUGCUAUUUCCUGGAAAAUUGGUUUCCUUGCUUCCAAUUCUGUCACAGGAGCUCUAUGUGACAGACUGCCUUAUGUGGACAUCAAACCCUGAUGCUGUUGCCCUGGCUGUGAUUCUUUGCACAACUACUUGUACAGUCCAUCUAGGAACUGGCCCAUCACUGAGGUAUCUAAGUUCUCCCUAAGUAUUUUAAAAUAGAAAUGACUAUAACAAUACAAGCUGCUCUUUUUUGCCCUUUUUCUUUGUCCAGACUGUAGAGAAAGUGUCUUGAUUAGUUUAUUGCUUGCCUGAUCCUGUACCUAUGUAUGUGAUUGAGUAUGACAGAGCUCUGUGUUUUUGUUGAAAAUGCAGAAUGAAAUGUAUAUAAUUAAGUAGACGUUUAUUUCUGAAAGUUCUAUUCAUUCUUCCCCAAGUCCUGCCAUCGAAGUGACUUAAAAAAAUCUUGUUUUAAACUCAAGAGGCAAGGAACUGAAAACGAAAAUGCAGAAUGAUAGACAUGGGCUGCAAAGCUGUUUACUAGCAAGUCAGGUAUUUUGGGUGCAGUUGUUUGUUGCCGUCUGUUAUCUGCUGUUAUUGUAAAAUCAUUACAACUUCCUGUAACAGUACUUCCCAGUCUUUUAAAAGCUGAACUCACUCUCAGAAUGAAAUCAAUCAAGUCCAUUGUAUUUCUGUUAGCUUUUAAGGUCAAACACCUACUUUAUCCUUAUUACAUGCUGCUUUUACUGCUUACUCUCAAAAACACUGCAGUAAAGAUUCCUACUAAAGUACUUUUUCUUUUAUACAUGCAUCAGCGAAAAAGUGAGCAGUACAGACAUUGGCAUCUCUCGUUACCAGUAGACUUGAUGCACACCUCAGAUUUAUAGCUGAAGGUAGAUCCUUCUGAACCAAUUACUCCAUUUUUUUGCAAGCACCUUUCACAAGCUUAAUAGUUUCAAUUUCUGAUAAUGAAAGCUCAGCUUCUGUAAGAGAGUUACCCAGUGAAAUUAGUCCAUAUUCCUUCCUUUAUAUACCCCAAGGAAUGUUCUAUAUACCAAGAAAUGUUAUUCUAUAAUUAACAGCUCGACAGCAGGCAAGUGGAAAACUCUUGUCAUACGUAAGGACUAGAUCUUUUAUGAAGAUAAAGUAUUUUGAAAGCUGUAGAAAAUUUGCAGUAAUGGUGAUGAUCUUGGAUUAAAUUAAAAUGG
ensembl:lncRNA